UAGCAGGCCCUGCAACCCAUCCCAACUGAGCGAUUGUCCAUGCUAGAGACAACACCCCGGACCCUAUCACAGCCGUUAUGAUAUGUGCACUAGCAGUCACCCAUGUCCCUUCAAAAUUUCACAAAACCACAAAAUCACGGCGGUCCCUCUGCUUGCGACUUGGGUUGGUCUCAGAGAGUCCACCAUUCUACAUCAAGAGUUCGAAAAUAGCACGGAAUUAUUUUGUUUUAGCACAUGCUUUCCUUCCUGUAUUCGACAGUAAAUAUAUUUCAUUGACCUCCAUUGAAUUGUUUACGAUUAUCAUAAUGUAUGCUGGCCCUGCGGCUGCCGACUAUAUUUCAUCAUGUACAUAUCUUCAAAGAGACAAUAUAAUUAUAACUCUUUAACACAUAA